rnacentral:rRNA from 1 species
UACAGAGGGGGCAAGCGUUGUUCGGAAUUACUGGGCGUAAAGCGCGUGUAGGCGGCCAUCUAAGUCGGGCGUGAAAUCCCACGGCUCAACCGUGGAAGUGCACUCGAAACUGGAUGGCUAGAGUCCUGGAGAGGAAGGUGGAAUGCUUGGUGUAGAGGUGAAAUUCGUAGAUAUCAAGCGGAACACCGGUGGCGAAGGCGGCCUUCUGGACAGUGACUGACGCUGAGACGCGAAAGCGUGGGGAGCGGACAGG